rnacentral:rRNA from 1 species
AGCGAACGUUUGCGGCGGGCUUAACACAUGCAAGUCGAACGAGAAUCCCUUCGGGGAGGAAAGUGGCGCACGGGUGCGUAACACGUGGAUAACCAACCCAUUGGUUUGGGACAACACCGGGAAACUGGUGCUAAUACCAGAUGUGUCGCAGCUGUCUUCAGGCGGUUGCGAGAAAGGCCCGCAAGGGUCGCCAACGGACGGGUCCGCGUCCCAUCAGCUAGUUGGUGAGGUAAUGGCUCACCAAGGCAAAGACGGGUAGCUGGUCUGAGAGGAUGAUCAGCCACACUGGAACUGAGACACGGUCCAGACUCCUACGGGAGGCAGCAGUGGGGAAUAUUGCGCAAUGGGCAAAAGCCUGACGCAGCCACGCCGCGUGAGCGAUGAAGGUCUUCGGAUCGUAAAGCUCUGUGGGGGGAGAAGAAGAAAGCCGGUGAAGAGCCGGCCCUGACGGUAUCCCCUUAGCAAGCACCGGCUAACUCCGUGCCAGCAGCCGCGGUAAA